GUGAGGAAUAUUGGACAAUGGGCGCAAGCCUGAUCCAGCCAUGCCGCGUGCAGGAAGACGCAUCUAUGGUGUGUAAACUGCUUUUGUACGGGAAGAAACACUCCCUCGUGAGGGAGCUUGACGGUACCGUAAGAAUAAGGAUCGGCUAACUCCGUGCCAGCAGCCGCGGUAAUACGGAGGAUCCAAGCGUUAUCCGGAAUCAUUGGGUUUAAAGGGUCCGUAGGCGGUUUAAUAAGUCAGUGGUGAAAGCCCAUCGCUCAACGAUGGAACGGCCAUUGAUACUGUUAGACUUGAAUUACAAGGAAGUAACUAGAAUAUGUAUUGUAGCGGUGAAAUGCUUAGAUAUUACAUGGAAUACCAAUUGCGAAGGCAGGUUACUACUUGUGGAUUGACGCUGAUGGACGAAAGCGUGGGGAGCGAACAGGAUUAGAUACCCCGGUAGUCC
rnacentral:rRNA from 1 species